UAGCUGCUGAGGAAUGCUGGGAGAACCUGGUGGCCUGUGUUUGCUUUGAUAUGUUAAUAGGUACUUCAGACAUUUGUGACAGUUUUGAGUUUGUGACAGUUUUGAGACUUGGACACUACCCGCGUUCCUUCCUUCCUUCCUUCCUUCCUUCCUUCCUUCCUUCCUUCCUUCCUUCCNNNNNNNNNNCUCUUCCUUCUUCCUCUACCCCCUCCCUCGCCCCUUUCUACUUUUCUUUAGGGUUCCUUUCUUUCUUCCCUCUUUGAUCUGUCCUUUCCGUCCCUCCUCCACUUUUCUCUGGGUUCCAGGGAUUGAGCACUGACCCUGAGCAUGAUCAAACUGUAUCUGGAAGGGCGUUGUCUGUGCUUGCUUGGCUGUGUCUCUGCUGCCCCUGAGCUCAUGAAAUAUAAAGGACCUCCUGAGGGAAUGUCUGUUCCUCACGCCAGUGCAAGGCAAGCAGGAAAGCCCUGUGCAAAACUAUGAAGCAGAGGAAGUCAGAGUUUGAGAAAACACCUCAAGCUUCUCCUUACACUUUGGUAUGACUGUAAAAUACAGCGUUCUCUCCACAAGGGAAGCUCCCUCGCCUCUUUAAGGACACUCAUGAGUGCCUUACACCUGCUCCCCUCUAUAAUUCAUCACUUGCAGGUUAGUAUCCACGAGCGUGUUGAUCAAGUUCUCUUUUUGUAUCAUUUCUUGAUUUGUAACUUUAAUAUUUUUAUUUCACUUUUUGUUAUUUGUAUUCAAUAUCUCAUGUUUUUUAGAAACCAUUGCUUUUAUGAAAAUUUGGGAGGUGGAACCUUUGAACUCUGCUCUUGUGGGCAGGAUAGUGAUACUAUAGACAUUGCUGCUGGGAGAGGAUUCUUUCUCCUGCCCUUUGCUCCCUACCAUGCAUGCUUUCUGGAGCAAUCAAUUUGAAGGACUGAAUUUUGACAGGUGAUUCCCCAAGGACUUUUGUACACCUUGGGAAUAUGAACCAGCCACUGACUUUAGGUUUGUGAUUUCCAAACCUGUGGAAUGCCUUGUUUAUAUGCAUAUAAGACUCUGCUAGGCAACCACAAACAAGAAAAGUUUACUCCAGCAGCAAUGAAAUAAAUAGCACAUUAUACAAAGUGGG
rnacentral:lncRNA from 1 species